rnacentral:rRNA from 1 species
AGGGCGUUUGGUGAAUGCCUUGGCAGUAAGAGGCGAUGAAAGACGUGAUACUCUGCGAUAAGCCAUGGGGAGCUGAGAAUAAGCUUUGAUCCAUGGAUUUCUGAAUGGGGCAACCCACCUGAAUGUUUGUUAUUAUUAUUCUUAGGGAUAUUUAAUAAUGAGCAUAAACAGGUACUUAUAGACUGAAUACAUAGGUUUAUAAGAGCAAACCCGGGGAACUGAAACAUCUAAGUACCCGGAGGAAAGGAAAUCAAUUGAUACUCCCCUAGUAGCGGCGAGCGAACGGGGACCAGCCGAGCCUCAAUUGUGGUUAGAAUGCGUUGGAAUGCGCAACCAAAGUGGGUGAUAGUCCCGUAUAAGAAGCAUGAGAGGACGUAUUAAGUAGGGCGGAACACGUGAAAUUCUGUCUGAAGAUCGGAGGACCACCUUCGAAGGCUAAGUACUCCUUACUGACCGAUAGUGAACCAGUACCGUGAGGGAAAGGUGAAAAGCACCCCGACGAGGGGAGUGAAACAGUACCUGAAACCGAACGCCUACAAUCAGUUGGAGGGUCCUUGCGGCCUGACAGCGUACCUUUUGUAUAAUGGGUCAUCGACUUGGUCUAUCUAGCAAGCUUAAGCCGUUAGGUGUAGGCGCAGCGAAAGCGAGUCUUAAUAGGGCGAAUGAGUUAGGUGGAUCAGACCCGAAACCGAGUGAUCUAGGCAUGGCCAGGUUGAAGGUAAGGUAACACUUACUGGAGGACCGAACCCACAUCCGUUGAAAAGGAUCGGGAUGAGCUGUGCCUAGGGGUGAAAGGCCAAUCAAACUCGGAGAUAGCUGGUUCUCUGCGAAAUCUAUUUAGGUAGAGCGUCAUCCGAAUACCCCGGGGGGUAGAGCACUGGAUGGGUAAUGGGGCCUCACCGGCUUACUGAUCCUAACCAAACUCCGAAUACCCGGGAGUACUAGAUGGCAGACACACGGCGAAUGCUAACGUCCGUCGUGAAGAGGGAAACAACCCUAACCUACAGCUAAGGCCCCUAAUUCAUGGCUAAGUGGGAAAGCAGGUGGGACGACCAAAACAACCAGGAGGUUGGCUUAGAAGCAGCCAUCCUUUAAAGAUAGCGUAACAGCUCACUGGUCUAAAUAAGUUGUCCUGCGGCGAAGAUGUAACGGGGCUCAAGCCAUGAGCCGAAGCUUAGGAUGCACUUAGUGCAUGGUAGCAGAGCGUAGUGUGACAUAAUUCCGAUCCUCUUUUGCAUCCAAUUUGGGUGUAGCGGAGGAAUGGAGUUUUCUGUGAAGCUGGCGCGUGAGCGAUCCGGUGGAGAGAUCACUAGUGAGAAUGAUGACAUGAGUAGCGACAAAGAGUGUGAGAGACACUCUCGCCGAAAGUCCAAGGGUUCCUGCUUAAAGCUAAUCUGAGCAGGGUAAGCCGACCCCUAAGGCGAGGCCGAAAGGCGUAGUCGAUGGGAACCAGGUUAAUAUUCCUGGGCCAGAUGGAAGUGACGGAUCUCGAGGGUAGUUCAUCCUUAUCGGAUUGAAUGGGCUGCUUAGAGGUCCCUGGAAAUAGCUCCAUCGCUAGAUCGUACCCUAAACCGACACAGGUGGAUAGGUAGAGAAUACCAAGGCGCUUGAGAGAACUAUGUUGAAGGAACUCGGCAAAAUACCUCCGUAAGUUCGCGAGAAGGAGGCCCGGUUCUUAGGCAACUAGGAGCUGGGGGCACAAACCAGGGGGUGGCGACUGUUUAUUAAAAACACAGGGCUCUGCGAAGUCGCAAGACGACGUAUAGGGUCUGACGCCUGCCCGGUGCCUGAAGGUUAAAAGGAGGGGUGAGAGCUCUGAAUUGAAGCCCAGGUAAACGGCGGCCGUAACUAUAACGGUCCUAAGGUAGCGAAAUUCCUUGUCGGGUAAGUUCCGACCUGCACGAAUGGCGUAACGACUUCCCAGCUGUCUCAACCGCGAACUCGGCGAAAUUGCACUACGAGUAAAGAUGCUCGUUACGCGCAGCAGGACGGAAAGACCCCGUGACCUUUACUACAGCUUUGUAUUGGUGUUCGGUGUGGCUUGUGUAGGAUAGGUGGGAGACUUUGAAGCGGACACGCCAGUGUUUGUGGAGUCAUUGUUGAAAUACCACUCUGGUCACUCUGGAUAUCUAACUUCGAACCGUAAUCCGGUUCAGGGACAGUGCAUGGUGGGUAGUUUAACUGGGGCGGUUGCCUCCCAAAAAGUAACGGAGGCGCCCAAAGGUUCCCUCAGCCUGGUUGGCAAUCAGGUGGCGAGUGUAAGUGCACAAGGGAGCUUGACUGUGAGACUGACAGGUCGAGCAGGGACGAAAGUCGGGACUAGUGAUCCGGCAGUGGCUUGUGGAAGCGCUGUCGCUCAACGGAUAAAAGGUACCUCGGGGAUAACAGGCUGAUCUUGCCCAAGAGUCCAUAUCGACGGCAUGGUUUGGCACCUCGAUGUCGGCUCGUCGCAUCCUGGGGCUGGAGUAGGUCCCAAGGGUUGGGCUGUUCGCCCAUUAAAGCGGUACGCGAGCUGGGUUUAGAACGUCGUGAGACAGUUCGGUCCCUAUCCGCUGCGCGCGUUGGAAAUUUGAGAGGAUCUGACCCUAGUACGAGAGGACCGGGUUGGACGAACCUCUGGUGUGUCAGUUGUCCUGCCAAGGGCACCGCUGAUUAGCUACGUUCGGGAUGGAUAACCGCUGAAAGCAUCUAAGCGGGAAGCCGGCCUCAAGAUGAGAUUUCCAUGCCCUUCGGGGCGAGAGGCUCCCAGUAGACGACUGGGUUGAUAGGCCGGAUGUGGAAGUGGGGACUAAAGACCCAUGAAGCUGACCGGUACUAAUAAGCCGAUAAUUUGACAC